rnacentral:rRNA from 1 species
AUUGAACGCUGGCGGCAGGCCUAACACAUGCAAGUAGAACGAGUGGCGGACGGGUGAGUAAUGUCUGGGAAACUGCCCGAUGGAGGGGGAUAACUACUGGAAACGGUAGCUAAUACCGCAUACCAUCGGAUGUGCCCAGAUGGGCUUUGCUAGUAGGUGGGGUAACGGCUCACCUGGGCGACGAUCCCUAGCUGCUCCGAGAGGAUGACCAGCCACACGGGAACGGCGACACGGUCCAAACUCCUACGGAGGGCAGCAGAGGGGAAUAUUGGACAAUGGGCGCAGGCCGGAUGCGGACAUGCCGCGGGGAUGAAGAAGGCCUGCGGGUUGUAAAGUACUUUCAGCGAGGAGGCGUUACUCGCAGAAGAAGCACCGGCUAACUCCGUGCCAGCAGCCGCGGUAAUUC